GUUUUCCACGCCUUGAGACAUAUGAUAAAAUUGGAACUAUAUAGAGAAGAUGAGCAUGACCUCUGUGCAAGGAUGGCAGACACAAAUCGAGAAAUCGUCCAAAUUUUU